AUUGAACGCUGGCGGCAGGCUUAACACAUGCAAGUCGAGCGGAGAUGAGGUGCUUGCACCUUAUCUUAGCGGCGGACGGGUGAGUAAUGCUUAGGAAUCUGCCUAUUAGUGGGGGACAACAUUCCGAAAGGAAUGCUAAUACCGCAUACGCCCUACGGGGGAAAGCAGGGGAUCUUCGGACCUUGCGCUAAUAGAUGAGCCUAAGUGGGAUUAGCUAGUUGGUGGGGUAAAGGCCUACCAAGGCGACGAUCUGUAGCGGGUCUGAGAGGAUGAUCCGCCACACUGGGACAGAGACACGGCCCAGAGUCCUACGGGAGGCAGAAGUGGGGGAUAUUGGACAAUGGGCGGAAGCCUGAUCCAGCCAUGCCGCGUGUGUGAAGAAGGCCUUUUGGUUGUAAAGCACUUUAAGCGAGGAGGAGGCUACCUGGAUUAAUACUCUAGGAUAGUGGACGUUACUCGCAGAAUAAGCACCGGCUAACUCUGUGCCAGCCGCCGCCGUAAGAC
rnacentral:rRNA from 1 species